GUAGGGAAUAUUGGGCAAUGGAGGCAACUCUGACCCAGCCAUGCCGCGUGCAGGAUGACGGCCCUCUGGGUUGUAAACUGCUUUUAUACGGGAAGAAAAAAUACUACGUGUAGUAUACUGACGGUACCGUAAGAAUAAGGAUCGGCUAACUCCGUGCCAGCAGCCGCGGUAAUACGGAGGAUCCAAGCGUUGUCCGGAUUUAUUGGGUUUAAAGGGUGCGUAGGCGGAUCGUUAAGUCAGUGGUGAAAGCCUGCAGCUUAACUGUAGAAUGGCCAUUGAAACUGAAGAUCUUGAAUGUGGUUAAAGUAGGCGGAAUGUAUCAUGUAGCGGUGAAAUGCUUAGAUAUGAUACAGAACACCGAUAGCGAAGGCAGCUUGCUGAACCAUUAUUGACGCUGAGGCACGAAAGCGUGGGGAGCGAACAGGAUUAGAAACCCGAGUAGUCC
rnacentral:rRNA from 1 species